rnacentral:RNase_P_RNA from 1 species
GUGGGCGGUCUGCGGCUUCGGACAGUAUGUCUGAGGAAGUUCUGUCCAUGGGGCCGGGACCGUAGCUACCCUCAGGUAGCCUGGCGAAAGUCAGGGUAAAGCACAGAAACAACACGGCCGCUGCAAGAUGAAAAUGAGGCAGACCAUCUGUUGAGGAUUGCAGUGGAAGCGGUGAAAGGCUCCCUUACGGUCAUGCAAGACCAAAUUGUGCUGAUGAAAGCCCGGCCAGAGGCAGAGGUAGGUCGCUGAGUGGAAUGCCGCAGGUGACUCCAGUCACAUACAAAAGACAGACUAUAGACCGCCCAC